AAAGAAUGCUUGACUUUCAUGGACAUGCUUAAUGAUCUUGGCUUCGAUAAAAACCACCAAAAAUACUGCUUUAAACGAAUGACGACGAUUGCGAUCAGAACAAUUUACUAUAUAUUUUGCUGCAGAAACAAAGAAUGGACAAAUCCGGAACUAUUAACCUUUUAAAAAUUGUACUAUAUAUUUGUUGUUUGUUAUUAUUGUUAUAUUGUGUAUGUAUAGUUAUUAUUGAUUCGAGUAGA